rnacentral:rRNA from 1 species
CGAGCCUGAUGGAGCACGCCGCGUGUGUGAUGAAGGCUUUCGGGUCGUAAAGCACUGUUGUAUGGGAAGAACAGCUAGAAUAGGAAAUGAUUUUAGUUUGACGGUACCAUACCAGAAAGGGACGGCUAAAUACGUGCCAGCAGCCGCGGUAAUACGUAUGUCCCGAGCGUUAUCCGGAUUUAUUGGGCGUAAAGCGAGCGCAGACGGUUUAUUAAGUCUGAUGUGAAAGCCCGGAGCUCAACUCCGGAAUGGCAUUGGAAACUGGUUAACUUGAGUGCAGUAGAGGUAAGUGGAACUCCAUGUGUAGCGGUGGAAUGCGUAGAUAUAUGGAAGAACACCAGUGGCGAAGGCGGCUUACUGGACUGCAACUGACGUUGAGGCUCGAAAGUGUGGGUAGCAAACAGGAUUAGAUACCCUGGUAGUCCACACCGUAAACGAUGAACACUAGGUGUUAGGAGGUUUCCGCCUCUUAGUGCCGAAGCUAACGCAUUAAGUGUUCCGCCUGGGGAGUACGACCGCAAGGUUGAAACUCAAAGGAAUUGACGGGGACCCGCACAAGCGGUGGAGCAUGUGGUUUAAUUCGAAGCAACGCGAAGAACCUUACCAGGUCUUGACAUCCUUUGAAGCUUUUAGAGAUAGAAGUGUUCUCUUCGGAGACAAAGUGACAGGUGGUGCAUGGUCGUCGUCAGCUCGUGUCGUGAGAUGUUGGGUUAAGUCCCGCAACGAGCGCAACCCUUAUUGUUAGUUGCCAGCAUUCAGAUGGGCACUCUAGCGAGACUGCCGGUGACAAACCGGAGGAAGGCGGGGACGACGUCAGAUCAUCAUGCCCCUUAUGACCUGGGCUACACACGUGCUACAAUGGCGUAUACAACGAGUUGCCAGCCCGCGAGGGUGAGCUAAUCUCUUAAAGUACGUCUCAGUUCGGAUUGUAGUCUGCAAUCGACUACAUGAAGUCGGAAUC